rnacentral:rRNA from 1 species
AGUGAACGCUGGCGGUAGGCCUAACACAUGCAAGUCGAACGGCAGCACAGGAGAGCUUGCUCUCUGGGUGGCGAGUGGCGGACGGGUGAGGAAUACAUCGGAAUCUACUCUGUCGUGGGGGAUAACGUAGGGAAACUUACGCUAAUACCGCAUACGACCUACGGGUGAAAGCAGGGGACCUUCGGGCCUUGCGCGAUUGAAUGAGCCGAUGUCGGAUUAGCUAGUUGGCGGGGUAAAGGCCCACCGAGGCGACGAUCCGUAGCUGGUCUGAGAGGAUGAUCAGCCACACUGGAACUGAGACACGGUCCAGACUCCUACGGGAGGCAGCAGUGGGGAAUAUUGGACAAUGGGCGCAAGCCUGAUCCAGCCAUACCGCGUGGGUGAAGAAGGCCUUCGGGUUGUAAAGCCCUUUUGUUGGGAAAGAAAUCCAGCUGGCUAAUACCCGGUUGGGAUGACGGUACCCAAAGAAUAAGCACCGGCUAAUUUCGUGCCAGCCGCCGCAGUAA